GUGCAGCAGGCGCGAAUCAUCCGCAAUGCGCGCAAGCGUGACGGUGCGACGCCGCGUGCGGGAGGAAGCCCCUCGGGGUGUAAACCGCUUUUCAGGGGUAUGAAGCGGCUUCGGUGAAUAGCCGGAGUCGUUGACGUCAACCCUGGAAUAAGCCCCUGCUAACUUCGUGCCAGCAGCCGCGGUAAUACGGAGGGGGCAAGCGUUGCUCGGAAUCACUGGGCUUAGAGCGGGCGUAGGCGGUCCGGUCAGUCGGAUGUGAAAUACCUCGGCUUAACCGAGGAAGGGCGUCCGAUACUGCCGGGCUUGAGGCAUCCAGGGGCGACUGGAACUCUCGGUGGAGCGGUGAAAUGCGUAGAUAUCGAGAGGAACGCCAAUGGCGAAAGGCAGGUCGCUGGGGGUGUCCUGACGCUGAGGCCCGAAAGCCAGGGGAGCGAACGGGAUUAGAUACCCCGGUAGUCCCUGAGACUACCAAGGCACACA
rnacentral:rRNA from 1 species